UUAAGUAAAUAAAGAUAAAAUUCUGGAUGUCUAGUAGGUAUACCCAAUGAGGAGUUUUUUUACGCUUAAUGAAUUUUAUAUUCGUCCUCUAGGAAAACCUUUUAUAUACACACGUAAUGAACCGAAGCAUCGUAGUAAUUAUAGGAAAAGAAAUCAACCGAGAUCUAGUUAGUAGCGUCGAGCAAAAGCUAGUUAGCCAAGUGCUUAUUCUGUUUGCUCCAAAUAUUUGAAACAAUAUACCAUAGCGGGUCAAUAGUCCCUUAGCAGCAUCCAUUUCAGUGCUAACAACAGUAAAACGGUAUCCAUCUGUUUGAACAUAGGGGACUCAUCCUCUAAGGCUAAAUAUGGUAUACCUAACUAUAGAGAAAAGUAACGUGAGUGAAAGAUUCUGUAAGUCGAUGACUGGUGAAACAGACCCUGAAAGAGUUUUAUUACAAGCAAGUAUAGUCAGCCUUUUUGAUUAUACUGUACCUUUUGCAUAAUGGGCCAAUAAGUAAAUGUUUCUGGCAAGGUGAAAGCCCCAACGAAAGUGAUUUUAGUCAGUUGCAUUUGACCCGAAACGAGGUGAUCUAACUAUGUGCAGGUUUAAGGACCGAACAAGUUUACGUUGCAAAGUAUUUUGAUGACGUGUAGUUAGCAGUUAAAGGCAAACCUAACCUCGUGAUAGCUGGUUCUCCGCGAAAUGCAUUUCAGUGCAGCGUCUUAGUUAUAAUUAGUAGGUACAGCACUGGUUGAUAUUAAGGGGGUCUAACCACUCUACUUAAGUCAACUAAUCUCGGAAUGACUCUUUCUAUACUUCGGCAGUGGGACAUAAGGCGAAAAGGUCUUGUGUCAAGAGGGAAACAGCCCAGACUAUGUGUUAAAGUCCCUAAGUGACUGAUCAGUGAAAAUAAGGAUGUGUCCUACCUAUGACAGCUCCGAUGUGGGAUUGGAAACGUCCAUCAUUUAAAGAAAACGUAACAGUUCAGGAGAUAUAUUUUGGUAAGAUGCGCCGAAGAUUUAUCGGGUCUUAAUCAGUCCACUAAAACCAUAGCUUACGUAUCUUACGUAGCGUAGCGGAGCGUGCAACACAGAUUAAAGGGUAGUGUUUCAUUACCUGGAUGUAGUUGUAGUGCUAAUGUUGGCAUGAGUAGCGAUAAUGAGUGUAUAAUCACUCACACCGAAAGAGAAAGGUUUUAGAAGGCAUGUUAAACAGCUUCUAGUUAUAGCGGUAUCUAAGGAAUUAGCUAAAGCGACAUUCCGAUGAUUAUUCAGCAGAAAGUCAAAAGUAAAAUUUUGGCCAAGAAAAUAAUGUUGAUAUACUACCGUACUUUAAACCGACACAGGUUCUCGGGUUGAAUAUACUAAGGUGUUCGAAAUAACUAUGUUUAAGGAACUCGGCAAAAUUACCCUGUAAGCUUGACGAUAAGGGGGGCUUGUAAAUAUCUAUUUACGAGUGACACAUAAUUGGAGGGUGCGACUGUUUAUCAAAAACAUAGGGGCCUGCUAACACUAACUGUGAUUGUAUAGGCCCUGAUUCCUGUCCAAUGUUAAAUAAUAAGAGUUUUGUACUUUAUGUCAAUGCAAUAAUAUUUGAUGUAUGACGGUCUUAACUAUGAGGAUCCUAAGGUAGCAAAACGCCUUGUCCAAUAAUUAUGGUCUUGCAUGAAUGGAAUAACGACACCCUCACUGUCUUAAACGUAGAUUCGGUGAAAUUGAAUUAGCCGUGCAGAUGCGGUUUUGGGGAAGCUGGACGAGAAGACCCUAUGCAGCUUUACUCUAACUUAGCAUUGUGAAAUUUCUCUCGUUUGGAGGUUCGCCUUCAGACUUAGGAAUCGCACUAACCAUCAUCAUGGGACCGUGCUAGGUGGUGAGUUUAUUUGGGAAGAAUCCCUCCAACAAUCUAUCGGAGGGGUCCACAGGUUGAAUUAACUUAGAUGGAGACUAAGGUACUAUCUAAAGUACACAACAGCAUAAUGGCGAAUGUCAGCUAGACUGUAAGAUUGACAAAUCAGACAGAGGCGUAAGCCGGGCAUAGUGAACAGGUAGUAUGUUAUGAUACAGCUAUCGUUCAUCGGAUAAGUUACGCUAGGGAUAACAGGUUAAUAGCGCGAAAGAGUUCAUAUCGUAAGCGCUGUUUGACACCUCGAUGUCGACUCAACAUAUCCUCCUGGUGAAUCAGCUAGGAAGGGUUUGACUGUUCGUCAAUUAAAAUGUUACGCGAGUUGGGUUCAGAAUUGAGCCCCUCAUUAAAAACCGGAAUAAUUGCAGGAAUGGUUAUUUAACCUAACCCGCAGCGAAGCUUACUUCAGCAUCUUAAGAAGUAAGAACGUUCAACGACUAACGUGUGAGUUAUGCUAACAAUAAUCACGACAAGAACAUCCGGGACCUAGUCUUUCUAGGUUAUGAUAUAGUCUGAUCAACUAUGCAAAUAGUUGGACUUUAACUAAAUAUUAAGGUCAAUUAACAUUAUUGUCAAUACGACGUGAGUCAGUAGUUUUACUAUCCUCUUCCCCCACAUACAGUCUAACUGGAAUAUCUUACUAGUACGAAAGGACCGUAGGGU
rnacentral:rRNA from 1 species